rfam:Cicer arietinum chromosome Ca3, whole genome shotgun sequence.
AGGUGCGAUCAUACCAGCAUUAAUGCACCGAAUCCCAUCAGAACUCUGCAUUUAAGCGUUCUUGGGCGAGAGGAUUACUAGUAUGGGUGACCUCCUGGGAAGUCCUCGUGUUGCACCUA